GAUGAACGCUGGCGGCGUGCCUAAUACAUGCAAGUCGAGCGAACGGACGAGAAGCUUGCUUCUCUGAUGUUAGCGGCGGACGGGUGAGUAACACGUGGAUAACCUACCUAUAAGACUGGGAUAACUUCGGGAAACCGGAGCUAAUACCGGAUAAUAUUUUGAACCGCAUGGUUCAAAAGUGAAAGACGGUCUUGCUGUCACUUAUAGAUGGAUCCGCGCUGCAUUAGCUAGUUGGUAAGGUAACGGCUUACCAAGGCAACGAUGCAUAGCCGACCUGAGAGGGUAAUCGGACACACUGGAACUGAGACACGUUCCAGACUCCUACGGGAGGCAGCAGUAGGGAAUCUUCCGCAAUGGGCGAAACCCUGCCGGAGCAACGCCGCGGGAGUGAUGACGGUCUUCGGAUGGUAAAACUCUGUGAUUAGGGAAGAAGAUAUGUGUAAGUAACUGUGCACAUCGUGACGGUACCUAAUCAGAAAGCGACGGCUAACUACGUG
rnacentral:rRNA from 1 species